CCUACGGGAGGCAGCAGUAGGGAAUCUUCCACAAUGGGCGAAAGCCUGAUGGAGCAACGCCGCGUGGGUGAAGAAGGUCUUCGGAUCGUAAAACCCUGUUGUUAGAGAAGAAAGUGCGUGAGAGUAACUGUUCACGUUUCGACGGUAUCUAACCAGAAAGCCACGGCUAACUACGUGCCAGCAGCCGCGGUAAUACGUAGGUGGCAAGCGUUAUCCGGAUUUAUUGGGCGUAAAGGGAACGCAGGCGGUCUUUUAAGUCUGAUAGGAAAGCCUUCGGCUUAACCGGAGUAGUGCAUUGGAAACUGGGAGACUUGAGUGCAGAAGAGGAGAGUGGAACUCCAUGUGUAGCGGUGAAAUGCGUAGAUAUAUGGAAGAACACCAGUGGCGAAAGCGGCUCUCUGGUCUGUAACUGACGCUGAGGUUCGAAAGCGUGGGUAGCAAACAGGAUUAGAUACCCCAGUAGUC
rnacentral:rRNA from 1 species